AUUCAAAUCAGAAUUGGCUUAAGGGAGAAGGAGUGUGCCACACUUUGUGGAGGGAGCCCAGGUUCCCCGACAGACACAGCGAAGGGAGGAAGAAUAAAACGGGCCUUGGAGGAUUCUUAUUUAAGUGCCAUUAACUGGACCUGUGAGCUCUGGCUAUUGUUUCUUCCCCUUAGGGAGGCUAUGAUGUAAGCAAUCAGUUCCGUGAAGAAGCACCCCUCCUGUACUGACAAUUCUAUGUACAUUGGGAAAUGACACAAGGAUGUUCAAGUGGACCCCUCAUGCAGUUUCAUUCAAUAAAAGUCUUCUAAUA